rnacentral:lncRNA from 1 species
UCACAGCAGAAAACACCCUUAGUAGAUAUUGAUAUGCCUUGCCGCGUUGAUGUUUUAGAAAUGUGCAGGUGGAGGGCAAUUACUGGGUCGGUUAUGCCCGUUUUUCCUCGAGCAGGGAUUUAAUGAGGGCUUUUGGGAUGGUUUAGGACGAGGGAAAGGUACUGGUUUGGAUGGAGUGAAAUGGGGUAAAUGCUUUAUGAUUCCUGGAGGGAGAUGUAUGGCAUCAACAGCAAAAUGUUGAGGAACAAACAUAAGAGCAGCAAGG